UGUGUCGUCAGGUAAACCUACAUUGAUUGC
rnacentral:piRNA from 1 species